AUGGUGGCUCUGAAACUGGAUUUCCGCAAGGCUUUUGAUAGUGUCAGCUGGGAAGCACUCCUAAAAAUUCUCUCUGUCAGGGGUUUUGGUGACCGUUGGGUUCGAUGGAUCUCGGCCAUGCUGACGUCCAGUACUUCCAGAAUCUUGAUAAAUGGUAAACUGGGACGCACCAUCAAGUCAAAAAGUGGUCUAAGACAGGGAGACGCCCUCUCGCCCUACCUAUUCAUCUUGGUAGCAGAUGUUCUACAGCAGCUCUGCCGUUUGGAACACAGUGCAGGGAGAUUAAAACACCCGCUAGGAGCAGAUGCUUUCUUUCCAAUUCUCCAGUAUGCGGAUGACACGCUAAUUUUGUUCCAGGGGGACAUUGAACAAGCACGGAUUAUCAAGCAGAUUCUGCAAGACUUCUCCAGCUUCACUGCAGAUUAA
rnacentral:rRNA from 1 species